rnacentral:rRNA from 1 species
AUACUCAAGCUAUGCAUCCAACGCGUUGGGAGCUCUCCCAUAUGGUCGACCUGCAGGCGGCCGCGAAUUCACUAGUGAUUAGAGUUUGAUCAUGGCUCAGAACGAACGCUGGCGGCACGCCUAACACAUGCAAGUCGCACGAGAAGUCGUAGCAAUACGAUUGUAAAGUGGCGCACGGGUGAGAAACACGUAAAUUAUUUUCCCUUUGGAUCGGGACAACAAUUCGAAAGGAUUGCUAAUUCCGGGUAAGCUCGGUUGGUUGUAAGAACUAGCCGAGGAGAGCGGCCCUCUGAUCUAAGGUCGCGCCAGAGGAUAAGUUUGCGGCCCAUCAGCCAGUUGGUAGUGUAACGGACUACCAAGGCUAAGACGGGUAGCUGGUCUGAGAGGACGAUCAGCCMCACUGGGACUGAGACACGGCCCAGACUCCUACGGGAGGCAGCAGUGGGGAAUAUUGGACAAUGGGGGAAACCCUGAUCCAGCGAUGCCGCGUGAAGGAAGAAGGCCUUUGGGUUGUAAACUUCUGUCGAUAGGGACAAAUCUGCCUGGGUGAACAAUCCAGGUAGAAGA